UACGUAGGGUGCGAGCGUUGUCCGGAAUUAUUGGGCGUAAAGAGCUUGUAGGUGGUUUGUCGCGUCUGCUGUGAAAAUCCGAGGCUCAACCUCGGACUUGCAGUGGGUACGGGCAGGCUAGAGUGUGGUAGGGGAGACUGGAAUUCCUGGUGUAGCGGUGAAAUGCGCAGAUAUCAGGAGGAACACCGAUGGCGAAGGCAGGUCUCUGGGCCACUACUGACGCUGAGAAGCGAAAGCAUGGGGAGCGAACAGG
rnacentral:rRNA from 1 species